CUACGGUCACACCUAGGCGAAAACACCAGUUCCCGUCUGAUCGCUGCAGUUAAGUGAAGCGUCUGAGGGUCUCGUUAGUUCAAUACUGCGGUUGGAGACAACAUGAGAAUCCGGGAUGCUGUAGG